CAUGUACUGUAGUCCACCAUUGCCUUAAAACUCCUUUUCAACUUUUACACAAGCAAUCAUAUCUAGGUUAAAAUUCAGAAAUACCAUAGUCUAUUCUAUAUAGCAAUAAAAAGUUUGCCAAUAACAAUAGCAAAUUCACUUGAGCUAGCAUUUUGCUGAAACACCAGCUAACUAAUAGUAUUACAAAAACCCUUUAAAGAUACAAUUUUUACCCAUUAAUUGAGCUUAACAUGUUCAAACAAGAAUUGUACAGUCAACAAAGGUCAACCAACUUUAACAUUUACUCAGAAUUAAGACAUAACCAAAGAACCACAUAAUACAUGAAAACUACACACCGGAUUAUAGAACCCACCUUUAUAUUACUAUGAAGCUUUAUCUUUUAUAGCAAAACCAAAGCUGCUUUUUGAGCUGCUACCACUCAAAUCCUUCCAAAAGCCUAGCAAAAUCCUCAUAACUUUGUCAUUAAAAAAAAGACAGAAUGGCCUAAAUGGCACCUAUACUAGUGUCACUUUAUCGUGCCGAUCCUCCUACUUCACUCUUUUUCAUCCCGACACUUCUAUGCGUUCAAAACUAUUAUCUUAAACCUUUCUGACUGUUGACCUUGCUUAUGUGGUAUAGAUAAAGCUGAGGUGGAUAAAAUGUUCGGUACACUCAGUGCAAAAAACGCAUGAAUUUGUGAUUCUAAUUUUUAGAAGAAAAAAUUGAAAUAAAAAAUAUAUAAAAUAAUAGAAAAGUAAAAAGUAAAACAACACCCAACUUAUCUUCAAACCCACACUUGAAGACCCAUUCUUCUUCAAAACCAGUCAUGUCCAUACGUUGCCGUCGCUUCCUUCCACCACCAUCUUUGCCGCCGUCGCCUCCUUUUCCUCUUCUACCAUCACUUCCAACAUCUUCUCGCAUAUACCUCCAAUUGUCUAUACCAUUUCCCCCCAAAUCAGACCCAUAAAUCACAUAAAAUAAAAUAAAUUUGAAUCAUACCCACUUCUCAAAAAUAAUUCUUGAAUUUUCAAAGGAUAGGGAUCUUAAAAUUGAGAAUUCUGGAUUUGUUGUUGUUUACAAUUGCUGUUGUUGGGCCUGUUGAUCGUAACUGUUUGGGUUUUUAUCCAUGCCGUGGAGGUUGUGUUUCGGUGGUUAAAACUGGGUGGAGAGUUCAAAAUUGUAGAAAAGGAAUGGAGAAUCUGAAAAUGGUAGAAAGUUUGGAACCGGCACAACAUUUGCUAACCAUGUAGUAUAUCGGACGACCCUGAUCAUAUUUGCACUUAGUUGCUUCGUGAUUUCUUAUUUAUUCUUAUCAGUCAUGUCUAUCAUAAACUACCUUUGUUUUUGUUGGAUUGGUGGAAAAUUAGGGUAUGUGGGAAGCUUAUGGACCACUAAGUCGGCACUCAAACCCGGCAUGUCAUCAUAUGACCAAGCAAAUACAUCUCUAUACUCGAACAAAACUUGAAUUAUGGCAUCUCUCGUCUUUUGUUCA